UUCCCGGGGGCGCCUGAUUGGUUAGGACAGUAUAGCGGCCGGGUGGCGGUGCCUUUGUGGAUCCGGUUCCUAGCCUGAGAGGAGGGUACAUGAGAUGUGAUGGUGCCAGCUUUCUGUGCCCCUUCAAUUUGGAACAUGUGGUCAUCAAAGAAGAUGUGGGGCCUUAUCUUCACCAAGAUGGGACCUUUGGCAGCUCCAGCAAGGAAAAGAGCUUCGUCUAUCUCUAGACCCCAGCGACGAAGGGUUUUCAGCACACGGGCGCCUGAACUGGCUGCACUCCUGGCUGUAACCAGCCCAUCGUUCUCAUUUGCUUCAAUUCAACAACAAAACACUGAGAAUCAGCUUUGUCACAAGCAACAUACCAGGCACUGACGAUCCAAAGGCGGCAGAACAGACUCUGAGAUUUUGAAAUCCACUGGAUUAUUGUGACCUGAGAUGUUCCAGAGAGAGAGAUUGGAGACAUCAUUAACUUCUCCAAAUUCAGCACAGUGAAAUGACUUCUCCAAAAUCUCCUGGCCCGUCAGUGAUCAAGAUAGGCUAAAUUCCAGGUCACCUGUUCCCAAACAGCAUCAAGAGCAGAAGAAUCAAGUUUCAUGGAUCCUAAGGUGCUGGCGGUGGUCUAGCCUCCAACAUUUUAAACAAGUUUUCCCUUCUGGUGAAUACGCUGUUUGAAUACCUGUGUGUUGAACAUUGAAUCUUAGUCAUUUCACAAAUAUACAAAGUGAUAUAGAAAUCGGUCUUUCUUUUCAAGGAGCUUUUAGGCUGUUGAUGGGUGGGAAGUACAAGUGAGAGUAGGAAUGGUAGUGAGUAAUAGAAAGAAAAGCCAGCUGUAGCACAGUGUAACAGUGGGAAGAAACGAAAAGUGAAUGUACUUUAAAUUUUUCUCUACCUUCCCUUCUUUUUUGCUGUGACUUCUGGAGAUUAGACUUAUGAAUAUCUGUUUCCAAUCCUUCAGAUUUUGCUUUACUUAUGACUUAAAGUCACAGUUUUCAUUUUUUUUCCCCAAAAGAUACUGAGCUAUCCUCCAUGGAACAUAGAUUGAAACAUACCAUUUUCCUGUCCCUUUACUCUGAGAGGGUGGGAGAAGGUGGACUUUCUCUGCAUGCUCUAAGAAGUUUAGACUUACAGAUUCAGAGAGUAAUUUCUGAGGCUACUUGGGUUGGUCCCACAAGUCUCCCUCCAAGCCUCCCUUCAAGUUUCCCCACAGCGGAGAGCAGUACAUGCUGCCAACUCCAGACUUUCAUCAGAAAACAGGGUCCCAUGGCACAUUUUUGUCCCUUCACAUGUUGCCAGUACACAUUCAGAUGUUGAUAGAACCAACUUAAAAUGUUUGUAAAAGUAAGCCUGGGCUCACACACCACAAAAUUGAAAGAACAAGCCGAACCCCUAGUUCCCCUGAAUAUAAUUUAAAUUAAAUAACUGCAAUCUAGAUGGGAGAGAAAUAUUUCCUCAUUAAUUGUUGCUCCUGAUGAUCUGAAGCCACAUGGGAUUUAAAGUAUUGAGGGAAUUGACUGUAUUUGUCAACACAAACAGUACUUGAGGAUGAAGGAAAUUAUUGAAGAAGUUAGAAUGUAUCACAGCACAUGCAUGCCUAAUAUGUGUAAUACAAAUAGUUAGCUUUAAAAUAUUUGGAUCCACAGGAUAUAUAUUGGACCCUUCUGAAUAUAUGACAAGUUUCACAAAGAUAAGGAACCCACAUAGCCAAUUGUUUGCAUUGGCGUUUAGAGUGUUAACAAGCAGCUGCCAUUUAAUAACUAUGAUUUUCAGGUCUGCAGAAAAAAAAAUGUUUGUAAAAGUAAGAAUGGGAACUAACAGGGAAUUCAAAGGGUCAAGACAAGAAAAUCACUGCCUCUAGCCCUUCAGCUUUCUCUCCUCUUUGGGUCAGAAAAGCUUUCAGGAAUAAGCUGACUCCUAUUAUUCUGAAUGGAAAGAGCAUGUUGCUUUUCUUUCGUGGGGAGUGCAUCUUCUUUCCAUUGGUGAUGCAGUGAUAGUUAAGCCGGGCUUUGAACCCAGGAGUGCUUCAAAAAAUAUUUACUGAAUGAAUAGGAGGUCUACAUAGUCUGCUGAUAUGUGGGAUAUUUUGCGAGGUGACAGGGAAAUUAGGUACUGUCAUCUUAAUUCAUACAGUGCAUGAUUUAAACACUUAGCUCCCUGGUGAAGAAAUGAGGCAAGAGAACCAAACUUAGCAGAGAUAGAACCAACUUAAUCUCUCCACAGUCAAGAGAAGGGUUUGAUGGGAUCAUAUACACAAGUGUGGUGUAUAUGUGUGAGUGUUAUGUGGUGUGGGUGAUUAAAUGCACACACACAUGUAACAUGCAGAGACAGCUUACUGUGGGUAGAAAAGAAUUGAAUAUCUAGCACUUUUUUGUUUUGCUCCUUUCCCUCAGAAACCAGAAGCAUGGACAUCUGCAGUGUGUCAGGGAAUGGAGACAUUUGGAUGUGUCUGGUUUUGAUAUCAUUAAAUGACCAAUGAAUUAAAGUAAGGGCGGGGAUCAGAGUGUGGCUCUCUCUGCUUUAUAGAUAAGCUGAGAUUGGAGUGUGAGAUGCAACAGUCUAGCCAUGUUAGGAGUGAACAAUCUGUUGCUGAUGAGAGGUAGUUGAAAAAUAGUUCCACUUUAAUUGUUUUAUUGUCUACUUUACAUUAUCAGGGCUUGUGGGAGAGAAGAGUAUAGAUAACAAAAGUGACAUAACCCAUGUGCCUAAGAAGCCCCUGUCAAAAGGCAUGGAUGCUUCUCUGGGUAUAUCACAUUUCAUUUGGCAAGAAUCUCUCCUAGAGUGUCUGGAAAAAAGACACAGGAAGGCCCUGUAUAUACUCUUAACACGAGGCCCAAUGGUAUAGCAAACAAAUAUUUAGGAAUGAAACAGAUCACCCAAGCCCAGUCUUUUCAGCUUCCUUUGGAUCAUUCCCAGCCACUGGAGGACCCAUGCUGUCUUAGAUCUGGAACUUCUUCAUAUAGAUGACAAAUGUUCUCUUCCAGUGGCAGGUUCAUUCAUGUAGUAUGGACAUGGAGGGAUGGACUCAGUCAGGAGAGAUGCCUGGGUUAACAGUCUGACUUAACCCUUUCACAGCUGGGUGGUAAAACUGGAUUUCACCUCUCUCUGAAUCUCAGUUUUCUUAUCCAUAAAAUAGAAAUAACAUACCCUCAUAUAGGGUCAUUGUGAGGCCUAAAGGAGAUAAUCAAAGCAAGAAGCAAUACAAUGCCUGGCUAGUUCCUGAUAAUUAUUCGCUUUUAUAGUUUUAAUCGCAUACCAUCAAAUUGAUGAUACCAAAAAUAAUAAAUUGAUCAUUAGAUUUAAUGGUAAUAUUUUGUGGGGGGGGAAGUGGCUUUAAUAUGCUGUCUUAAUUAUUUUUGAACUAUUAAUCCAGAUGGUACAUAAUACUUUUCUCUUUAGCUUCAACAUCAAUAUUUGAAACUAAUCCUGAAAAUAUGAAAUCUAAGGGUUUUUAUAUUUUCAGGGUUAGUUUCAAAUAUUUUUUCCUGAAUCAACUUGGUUACUAGGGAUUACAGAGAACAUCAUGAUGACAGUGUACCUUUCUUCAACUCAAGUUUGUUAUCUUGACAUAGCACCCAUAAGACUGAUGGUAUAAUUUGAGGUUUGUCAGAGUUUUGUCAGAGAAGACCAGAGUUUGCUUUUAUCCCCGUAAUUGAAUUACCUCUCACUGGAAGUUCAAUAACUUCUUUUGAGAGAAGCCAGAAUCUUGCUGACAAAUUUUUGGUGUUUGGAAGACAGUAUGUCGUGUCUGGGAGGAUGUAGAAGAUAUUGGUAGUUGGUGUGUUUAUCCAUCCAUUAUCAUGGUUUGAGCUCUAAUUGCUGCUAUGGCACUGCUGCCUUUUCAUCUUGAAAAAAAAAAAUGUGUUAAUUUUGAGAAAUUCUCAACUGUUACAUUCAUUGAAUUACCUGGUAUGUGAAAAGCAAUCUGCUUGUAUAAAAAAGCUUUUACUUUAAGUGUUUCCUCAUAGCACAGUUUUCUUGAGAUAUUUUAAGCAACAACUAGUGUUAUAAAUCUGUGUUUGAAACUGUGUGAUGUUAUCAAUGAGAUUUACUAACCAGAGUGACUGUUGACGAAUUGUGUUCACAGGUGAAUAAGAAAUGACGAAGACCUCUGCCUAGCUGCUGCUAAGCUGCUUUUGAAAAUCAAAUUAGAAGCGGUGUCCCAGUUUUGGAAAACAGCAACAACAAAAAGUUGAAGUACAUCUUUUAAAUUGAAAAUAAUCAAGGAGCUAUGAUUAUCUAUGGCAUGUUGUAGCUUGUUCUUAUUAUUAUAUAUGGCAUUUCCUCAAAGGCUUAUCCUCUGAGGAAAAGGUAUUUAAAUAUUUUUGUUGUUGUUGUUUUCCUUUUCUUUGUCCUCUGUGCUCCUGCAGUGGCUCACUCUACUUGGGUUCUUCUCUGUGAGCACGCCCCCUGGAGGCAGAUCCAUUAACCUCUUUGAGAAUUUGAGCUUUACAAACAGGGGAUCUCAUUGGUGUAGACUUAAGUGAGUGACUCUUCUGCUAACAGACUGCAGCAGAAAUUUCAGCUCCUGCCACUUGGGACCUCUAUGACUUUGGUCAAGUCACUUGAUCUCUGUGAUCCUUAGUUUCCUCAUUUGUAAAAUAACUAACUUAUGCACUUUUUAGUUUAUAUUAAUCUAAACAAAUCCACUAUUUGAUUAUUUCUACAGUUGCCAGCAUAUAUCCAGGCAUGGUGCUCAGUAAAUUGUAGUGUAAGAUUAUUACCAUAAAUUAGUACAAUGAUGGUAUAUAUGCUUGCUUCUUUGUAGUUUACAAAAUAUUUUCUUUUCCUUUUUCUUUUUUUUUUUGGCUGUACCCACAGCCUGCAGAACUUCCCUGGUCAAGGACUGAACCCAUGCCACAGCUAUAACUAGAGCCACAGCAGUGACAAUGCUGGACCUUUAAUCUGCUGAGCCACAAGGGAAUGCCUACAAAAUAUUUUCUUGAGGAUUAGCAUUAAAGUAUGAUGAGAAAGACAGCAGUAAUAAUUUUCAUAAAUGAGAAAGAAAAUCUUUUUACUUUUAAUGCAGUCAUCUUUAUUUCCUCCUCUGCCUCUCUUAGUGCAAAAUUGUCUACCUUUUGGACUCACCAAAAAUCAGAUUUAAUAUAAGUAUCUAUUUAUGUUGUAUUCAUCCACUAUUAGUAGUUUCUUAGGAAAUGUAGCUUGCUAUUAAACAGGAAGCUGCAGAUAUAGGUUGGUGUUGUUAAGAAACAUUCAAGGGGCUUCUCUUGUAAUAAGUAUACUAAGGGAAGGUUACCAGACCAGAAUAGUGCAAAGUAGAAAGUGGAAGGAUUAAGGAUGGAGUUGUAGGUGAGAAGAAUUUAUGCAAAGAGAGCGUUCUUAGCACUACACUUAAGACCACCAGAAUGGUAGCCUGUGAAUUAAAACAAAAAGUUUAAAUCUCUGUGGGAUAAUGUUGUCCCUAGACAGUUUUUCCCCCUACUGUCUCCUAACCCUAAACUUCUGGUACCCCAUGAUCCAUGCAUGAUCUCAGACCUUGUGGCUGAAUAAGUCUCAACCCUGGAGUUAGUGGUUGAAUUUCUGUAUGCCAAGUUCAAGCAGAGUGCAGGGUUUUGGAAUCCAGCUUUGGUGCAUCCCAUCCUGUAACUGUGAUAUAUGAUAAAAGGAAAAAUUGCAGCCAAACUUGACUAUGUUCAAAGCAAGGUGCUAGUGAAAGGAUGGGAUGGAAAAUAAGUCCUAAUGGAUUAAUGACUCAUGAUAAAUGUUUUAUUAUAAAAGCUUGUGAAUGAUUAGAUAAUUCUUACUUCCAAGAAUAGAAUUUAAAUAUUUUUUUGUCUGGCCUGUUACCAAAGUAAAUGAAUCACUUAAGUAUCUAGUUAAUAGUUAAAUCUUUAUGUGCAAAAAUAAAAAAAUGGAAAAGGUAAUUUUUAUUGUAAAAAAUCAGUAUCUUAUUUACUCACUACUUAUUACUUUUUGUAAUAUUUACUGCUGGUUGAACCAACUUAUCAGAAAAAAUAACACUUUCAGCAGACCAUGAAAGAAAGAUGUUCUAUUUGAUAACUAUCCAUUCAGCAAAAUAAAGCAGAAUGAAAAUUUUUCUGGGCAGCUGUAGUUGUUGGUGGAAACUAAACGUUUAAUGAUAUAUUUUACUUGAGUUCGUAAAAGUCUAAUUAUUCCAGGACAAUCAUCCUCUCGUCACAUCCACACAGUUCCCACUGAGAACAGCACGUGCCUGUCUGAGGCCCCAGAUUAAACGUGCUAUCCAUUUGAGCUAAUUUUCUUUUCUCAUUGUGCUGAGGUCAGAUUAUCUUGGACACUCUUUAGAAUCCAAUUCAUAUCUUUUAAAGGCUUGUAAACAUUUACGCCUAUUGAUUUAAGCGUGGGAUAAAAAAUAAAUUUUAAUGUAGUUUAAAAUUAUGGUUCAAAUGCCUCUUCCAUCUAGAUUAGUGAUUUAGUUUUACUGGUUUUUACUUAAUUCUUAUUUUUCAGAUACAGCUCUUCUAAAGAAUGACUGUUUUGUUCUGAUCACAUUUUUAUAUACAUUAUUUUGUUUUCUUCCUAAGACAUUUUAGAGCUUUAAAAUCAAUGUGGGAAAGCUCUGUGUAGGCCACAUCUGGGAACAAAGCAGAAUUCCUCAUCCUUUUUGUCUUUUGGAUCCACCAAAUAAAUCCAUCACCUAAUACUUGCUGUAAAGACUUUAAAUGAACUAGCAGAGAAAAAAAUGAGCUAAUAGGUUGUAAACAGAUAACAAAAGAUGGUAUUCCUAUGGGCUCUCCCAUUAUUGAAAUAGCUGACAUGAUAUUGUUCAGCACAGUGCAUAGAAGCACAUAGUAGGUGCUUAUGCAUUUCUUUUCUUUUCUUUUCUUUUCUUUUUGGAGGGGGGACAUCCCCACAGCAGGUGGAAGUUCCUGGG